AAGUCGUAACAAGGUUUCCGUAGGUGAACCUGCGGAAGGAUCAUUACAAAUCUCGAUAUCCACGAUUGGGAAUAGUAGGGGGGGGAUUCUCACAUCGACAAUUAUACUAUUGACACUUGUAUGUAUGAGUUACAAAACAACAACCAAAGAAUACCUUUUAACAAUGGAUCUCUUGGCUCUU
rnacentral:misc_RNA from 1 species